rnacentral:lncRNA from 1 species
GCAGGCUGCCCGCGCUAGCAGCAGUAACCUGCUUGAGUAGUAUUACGUGCUGUGGAAGUUUUGUUCUUUUGCUUUUCGCAGUAAAUUUUGCUGGUGGUCGCUCUUUGGGUCCACGCUUCUUUUAUGAGUUAUAACCCAUACUGUGAAGGUCUGCAGCUUCAUUCCUGAAGCCAGCGAGACUAAGAACCCACCGCGAGAAACGAAGAGCUCCAGAUGCCCCCUUAAGAGCUGUAACAUUCACCGGGAAAGUCAGCCAGCGAGACCACGAACCCCACCAAAAGGAAGAAACUGAACACAUCCCAGCAUCAGAAAGAAUAAGUUCUGGACACACUGCCUUUUAAGAACUGUAACACUCACCGCGAGGUUCCGCGGCUUCAUUCUUUAAGUCCGUGAGAUGAAGAACCCAUCAAUUCCAGACACAGUAGAACAUAGCGAAAACAUUGGAAUGUUGCUUCUGAGAUGAGGCUGCAAUGUCAUGAGACUAUGACAGCUGUCAUGCGCUUUCUCCCACUCCGUGGGAAGCACGUUGCCAUGUUAUGGGGUAGCGUUGUGGGGAGACCCCCCAUGGCAAGGCACUGAUCUCUGGCUAAUAGCUAUUGAAGACUUGAACUCCAGUAACAGCCCUGUGAGUGGGCAUGAAAGCGGAUCUUUGGAGGUCUGUUCAUUGCGAUGUACUCACAUGAGUUUGGAAGCAGCUGCUCCCCCAGCCAAGCCUAGAAUUGACUACUUCAUCACCUUUUCCCAGAGACCCCCAACUAAACCACACCCAAAUUCCUGCCCCAGAGGAAAAAAACUGUGAGCCUUUGGAAUGAGUACACAUCCAGGAGUGAAGAAGACAAGCUCAACUGCCAUUCUCUGAGCAGUUCAAGGCAUACUGAGUUGCGGGAGUUGUGUGGUGGUCCACUCUGAC